rnacentral:lncRNA from 1 species
CUUCAGCUGAGCUUUUGCUUGCUGUCCACCACUGCUGAAUGCCGCCAUCGCAGACCCGCCAUUGACUCCCACCCCUCCGAAUCUGACAGGGUGUCCGCUGCACUUCUGAUCCAGCAAGGUGCCCAUUGCUGCUCCCAAUCAGACUAGAGGCUCACCACUGUUCCUGCAUGGCUAAGUGCCGGAGUUCAUCCUAAUCAAGCUGAACACUAGUUGCUGGGUUCCAUGGUUCUCUUCCAUGACCCAUGGCUUCUAAUAGAGCUAUAACACUCACCGCAUGGCCCAAGGUUCCAUUCUUUGGAAUCUGUGAGGCCAAGAACCCCAGGUCAGAGAAUAAAAGCCUUGCCGCCAUCUUAGGAGUGGCUCGCCACCAUCUUGGGAGCUCUAAAAACAAAGACCAUCCGGUAACAUUAUGACCUGAGUUGGGGUAGUGGUUAAUGGCCUUAGAUGCAUGUUCAAUUCACCUUUUAAAAAUCCCAGUGCUCAGGGCACACCCUGGGCCAAUUAAAUCCAAAUCUCAAGGACAGCUACCCAAGCAUCAGUAUUUUUACAGCUCCCCAAGUGAUGAUAACGCAUGUCAAGGUCAUGACCACUGGAUGAGGGUAACCAACAAGGCUGCAUCUAACAAACUCCUGAAAAAUUAAGCACCUGAUCCUGUGACAUUCUGAAUCACCAUGGCCAUGCUUCUUGGACGGCCAAUAGCAUCACCUCCCAGAUCUCAGAAGGAAACUCUGGGAAUGAACACAGGGCUCAAAACUGAGGCUUUUCUUCCCUCCCAGCAGAGAAAAGAAUGGGAUGGGAUCUCAGUAUGUUACCCAGGUCUUGAACUCCCAGUCUCAAGUGAUCCUCCCCGCUCAGCCUCCCAAAGUCCUGGGAUUACAGGCAUGCCACCAUACGAGGCCAGAAUCCAUUGUUUAAUUGGACUCAUCAAACAACAGACCAAUUGUCUAUUACUGGCAUUUUAUGGAUUUGUUACUGCCACUUUAUUUCAAAACACCUUAUAUCAACCAUUUUACUAUACCACAGUGACCACAUGGCCUGGAUUUUCCAGAGUAAUCCAGAUUUCAAUAUCAUGA